rnacentral:rRNA from 3 species
AGACCCGAAACCCGGUGAUCUAGCCAUGGGCAGGUUGAAGGUUGGGUAACACUAACUGGAGGACCGAACCGACUAAUGUUGAAAAAUUAGCGGAUGACCUGUGGCUGGGGGUGAAAGGCCAAUCAAACCGGGAGAUAGCUGGUUCUCCCCGAAAGCUAUUUAGGUAGCGCCUCGUGAAUUCAUCUCCGGGGGUAGAGCACUGUUUCGGCUAGGGGGCCAUCCCGGCUUACCAACCCGAUGCAAACUGCGAAUACCGGAGAAUGUUAUCACGGGAGACACACGGCGGGUGCUAACGUCCGUCGUGAAGAGGGAAACAACCCAGACCGCCAGCUAAGGUCCCAAAGUCAUGGUUAAGUGGGAAACGAUGUGGGAAGGCCCAGACAGCCAGGAUGUUGGCUUAGAAGCAGCCAUCAUUUAAAGAAAGCGUAAUAGCUCACUGGUCGAGUCGGCCUGCGCGGAAGAUGUAACGGGGCUAAACCAUGCACCGAAGCUGCGGCAGCGAACGUAUCACCCAAGACAACUUUACGGAGUUGACGAUUGACGGAGCGAAGCGACGUCAAAGCGUUCAUUAAAGUCGAGUUGGCUUAGGGAUACGUUCGUUGGGUAGGGGAGCGUUCUGUAAGCCUGUGAAGGUGUGUCGUGAGGCAUGCUGGAGGUAUCAGAAGUGCGAAUGCUGACAUAAGUAACGAUAAAGCGGGUGAAAAGCCCGCUCGCCGGAAGACCAAGGGUUCCUGUCCAACGUUAAUCGGGGCAGGGUGAGUCGACCCCUAAGGCGAGGCCGAAAGGCGUAGUCGAUGGGAAACGGGUUAAUAUUCCCGUACUUGGUGUUACUGCGAAGGGGGGACGGAGAAGGCUAUGUUGGCCGGGCGACGGUUGUCCCGGUUUAAGCGUGUAGGUGUGUGUUCCAGGUAAAUCCGGUUCACUUUAACACUGAGGCGUGACGACGAGGCACUACGGUGCUGAAGCAACAAAUGCCCUGCUUCCAGGAAAAGCCUCUAAGCAUCAGGUAACACGAAAUCGUACCCCAAACC